rnacentral:rRNA from 21 species
UCCUGGCUCAGAAUGAACGUUGGCGGCGUGGAUUAGGCAUGCAAGUCGGACGAGAAGCUUCCUUCGGGAAGUGGAAAGUGGCAAACGGGGUAGUAAGGCGUAGGUGACGUACCCUCAAGUCCGGGAUAGCCACGGGAAACCGUGAUUAAUACCGGAUAAUCUCUCAGAGUAUGGUGCUUUGAGAGCAAAGGUGUGAUUCCGCUGGAGGAGCGGCUUACGUGAUAUUAGGUAGUUGGUGAGGUAACGGCUCACCAAGCCUCAGAUGUCUAGGGGGUGUGAGAGCAUGGCCCCCACCACUGGGACUGAGACACUGCCCAGACACCUACGGGUGGCUGCAGUCGAGAAUCUUCGGCAAUGGACGCAAGUCUGACCGAGCGACGCCGCGUGCGGGAUGAAGGCCCUUGGGUUGUAAACCGCUGUCAGAGGGGAUGAAAUGCAAGAGGGCUAUCCCUCUUGUUUGACAGAGCCUCAGAGGAAGCACGGGCUAAGUACGUGCCAGCAGCCGCGGUAACACGUACUGUGCGAACGUUAUUCGGAAUCACUGGGCUUAAAGGGUGCGUAGGCGGUUUAGUAAGUAGGGUGUGAAAUGCCAGAGCUCAACUUUGGCACGGCGCUCUAAACUGCUAAACUUGAGUGAGAUAGGGGUGUACGGAACUUCCGGUGGAGCGGUGAAAUGCGUUGAUAUCGGAAGGAACACCGGUGGCGAAAGCGGUACACUGGGUCUUAACUGACGCUGAGGCACGAAAGCCAGGGUAGCGAACGGGAUUAGAUACC